rnacentral:sRNA from 1 species
UGGAAAAAACAUAAAUGCAAACAAUGAUGGGUAUAUGUAUCUUGAAAAUCCAGCUAUUGUUGUGGUUGUUGCUACAUGUUGUUGCUGUCUUUGUUGUUGUCGUUUUACUAGCCACAACUACAUUGACU